rnacentral:tRNA from 1 species
GGAGGUAUACCCAAGUCUGGCUCGAAAGGGGAUCGGUCUUGAAAACCGACAGGCGGGUCAAACCGCGCGGGGGUUCGAAUCCCUCUACCUCCU